GCUGGGAUAGCUCAGUGGUAGAGCACUUGCUUGAGAUACAUGAGUCCCUAAGUUUGAAUUCCAGUA
rnacentral:tRNA from 1 species